UUGCUUUGGCAGCACAUAUACUAAUAUUGGAACAGUACAGAGAUGACUAGCAUGAAUACCAUACAAGGAUUGCAUAAAUUUUAUAAAGAAGUUUACAUCUUCU
rnacentral:snRNA from 1 species